rnacentral:rRNA from 1 species
GAUGAACGCUAGCGGCAGGCCUAAUACAUGCAAGUCAAGGGGUAGCAAUACACCGGCGGACGGGUGCGUAACGCGUACACAACAUACCUUUAAGCGGGGGAUAGCAUCGGGAAACUGGUGGUAAUACCCCAUAGUAUUGCGAUCCGGCAUUGGGUUGCAAUUAAAGUUCCGGCGCUUAGAGAUUGGUGUGCGUCUGAUUAGCUAGUUGGCGGGGUAACGGCCCACCAAGGCGACGAUCAGUAGGGGGUGUGAGAGCAUGACCCCCCACAUGGGUACUGAGACACGGACCCAACUCCUACGGGAGGCAGCAGUGGGGAAUUUGGACAAUGGGGGCAACCCUGAUCCAGCCAUGCCGCGUGAGUGAAGAAGGCC